rnacentral:rRNA from 1 species
GUGAGGAAUAUUGCGCAAUGGAGGCAACUCUGACGCAGCCAUGCCGCGUGCAGGAAGAAGGCGCUACGCGUUGUAAACUGCUUUUAACCGGGAAGAAACCCCAGGACGUGUCCUGGGUUGACGGUACCGGAGGAAUAAGCACCGGCUAACUUCGUGCCAGCAGCCGCGGUAAUACGAAGGGUGCAAGCGUUAUCCGGAUUCAUUGGGUUUAAAGGGUGCGUAGGCGGAGCGUUAAGUCAGUGGUGAAAUCCUGCAGCUUAACUGUAGACUUGCCAUUGAUACUGGCGCUCUUGAGUGCGCUUGAAGUGGGCGGAAUGUGCCGUGUAGCGGUGAAAUGCUUAGAUAUGGCACAGAACACCAAUUGCGAAGGCAGCUCACUAAGGUGAUACUGACGCUGAGGCACGAAAGCGUGGGGAUCGAACAGGAUUAGAUACCCGAGUAGUCC